rnacentral:rRNA from 1 species
GAGGCCACUGCUAUCGGGGUCCGACUAAGCCAUGCGAGUCAAGGGGCUCUUCGGGGAGCACCGGCGCACGGCUCAUACACGUGGCUAACCCUACCCUCGGGUGGGGGAUAACCUCGGGAAACUGAGGCUAAUCCCCCAUAGGGGAGGAGGUCUGGAAUGAUCCCUCCCCGAAAGCGCAAGCCGCCCGAGGAUGGGGCUGCGGCGGAUUAGGUAGUUGGUGGGUUAACGGCCCACCAAGCCUACGAUCCGUACGGGCCCUGAGAGGGGGAGCCCGGAGAUGGACACUGAGACACGGGUCCAGGCCCUACGGGGCGCAGCAGGCGCGAAACCUCCGCAAUGCGCGAAAGCGCGACGGGGGGACCCCGAGUGCCNACGCUCCGCGUGGCUUUUCCGGAGUGUAAACAGCUCCGGGAAUAAGGGCUGGGCAAGUCCGGUGCCAGCAGCCGCGGUAAUACCGGCGGCCCGAGUGGUGGCCACUGUUAUUGGGCCUAAAGCGUCCGUAGCCGGCCCGGUAAGUCUCUGCUUAAAUCCUGCGGCUCAACCGCAGGGCUGGCAGAGAUACUGCCGGGCUUGGGACCGGGAGAGGCCGGGGGUACCCCAGGGGUAGCGGUGAAAUGCGUUGAUCCCUGGGGGACCACCUGUGGCGAAGGCGCCCGGCUGGAACGGGUCCGACGGUGAGGGACGAAGGCCGGGGGAGCAAACCGGAUUAGAUACCCGGGUAGUCCCGGCUGUAAACUCUGCGGACUAGGUGUCGCGUCGGCUUCGGGCCGACGCGGUGCCGAAGGGAAGCCGUUAAGUCCGCCGCCUGGGGAGUACGGUCGCAAGACUGAAACUUAAAGGAAUUGGCGGGGGAGCACUACAACGGGUGGAGCCUGCGUUUUAAUUGGAUUCAACGCCGGGCAUCUUACCAGGGGCGACGGCAGGAUGAAGGCCAGGUUGACGACCUUGCCAGACGCGCCGAGAGGUGGUGCAUGGCCGUCGUCAGCUCGUACCGUGAGGCGUCCUGUUAAGUCAGGUAACGAGCGAGACCCGCGCCCCAUGUUGCUACCUCCUCCUCCGGGAGGAGGGCACUCAUGGGGGACCGCCGGCGCUAAGCCGGAGGAAGGUGCGGGCAACGACAGGUCCGCAUGCCCCGAAUCCCCUGGGCUACACGCGGGCUACAAUGGCCGGGACAAUGGGACGCGACCCCGAAAGGGGGAGCGAAUCCCCUAAACCCGGUCGUAGUCCGGAUCGAGGGCUGUAACUCGCCCUCGUGAAGCCGGAAUCCGUAGUAAUCGCGCCUCACCAUGGCGCGGUGAAUGCGUCCCUGCUCCUUGCACACACCGCCCGUCACGCCACCCGAGUUGAGCCCAAGUGAGGCCCUGUCCGCGAGGGCAGGGUCGAACUUGG